CAGUCGCCGCGGGAAUACAGAGGGUGCGAGCGUUAAUCGGAUUUACUGGGCGUAAAGCGUGCGUAGGCGGCUUUUUAAGUCGGAUGUGAAAUCCCUGAGCUUAACUUAGGAAUUGCAUUCGAUACUGGGAAGCUAGAGUAUGGGAGAGGAUGGUAGAAUUCCAGGUGUAGCGGUGAAAUGCGUAGAGAUCUGGAGGAAUACCGAUGGCGAAGGCAGCCAUCUGGCCUAAUACUGACGCUGAGGUACGAAAGCAUGGGGAGCAAACAGGAUUAGAUACCCCGGUAGUCCCUGUCUCUUAUCC
rnacentral:rRNA from 1 species